GAAUGGGGACGUCUUUUUUUUUUUAAAGAAAAAAAGUCAGUUUCUCAUUGAUCAAACCUUUUAUGUCAGUUGGAACCGAUUUAUCAAUUCCCCGAAAAGAAGACGAAAAGAAUUCACGAAAGGGAUAUUAAAAAAGAAAGAAAAUGAAUGAGUCCGAAAUCCAUUCAAGUAAUAAUAAUAGGCUACAAAAGAGAAUCCGAGGGAUGGAAUAAAAAAAUAAUAACGAGCUUAAAAAGGAACAUAAAGAAAAUAAUAAGACGAGCUUUAAAAAAAAAAAGAAAACGAAUAAAAAGGAGAUAAAAAAAAAAAUAAGAAACAAAAACUUGAAUGGUGGUCCAGCAUUGGCCUGGGUGACUACACCCGCGGUGUCGUGUCAUCCAUCACGUCACAUGCCGCUGGACAAGAAGAGACCCGGCAUCCGGGUUUGACGGGUCAAAUGAGAUGUAAUUGCCCCAUCACAAAAUAAGAAAAAGGGGAUUUUAAAUAUCGAUGAGGCCCAACAAGAAUCGCCAUUUUGUCCCAGGUAGAUUAGACAGACACACGCUAUUUUUGUUUCUCUAGUUAAGACGGAGCUGGUCUAUUAGAAGAAUCCAGCAAUGAAAAAUCGAAAAGUAAAAUUCACUGCCAUACGUUAAUUUUCAAAAAUACGACGCUAUAUCAGGAAGAAGAAAAAAAACAUUCCGUAGUGAAGGAGAAACAUAACACCUAAACACGAAAACAAAAUGGCGAUGCGAUGGAGCAAUCAUCAGAAAAAAAAAACAUUUCGUCUUCCGUCUCAUUUGGUGCUGUUGAUAACAAUCGUGCCCAGGUAAAUAGUAAUAAAAAUUCUUCUUUUUUUUUUGUGCCCAUAAUUACACAUUUCAAACGUGGAGGACACACACCAGCAGGAGGAAGGCCAAGUAGUUAACAUACACUCUCUCUCUCUGUGUGUGUGUGUCUGUGCGCUUACGUCUAUACUCCCUAGUCCCGCGGCCAUCUCCUCCUUGCAUCCGGACUGAGAUAUAUAGGGAGGGGAAAGAAAAAAAAAAAGGUUCGAGUUCAAGGCUGUUAUUUAUUUAAAAAAUUAUUUUAUUUUUACUUUGCACCCUCAGUCUCUUGUACGAACCAAUCAGAACUGAGAGAGAGCUACGUGUUAUUAUUCAUCUACUACCACUACUACUACUACUACUACCUCUUUUUUUUUUCCUUAUCUAUAACGAUAUGUAAUUUUUACGAGAGGGAUUAUUCUUUUUCGUUACGUGGCUACUGGCCUCGUCCAGUAAUUACAGAAGCAAUAGAACAAGCCUCUUCCAAAAAAAAAAAUUUUUUUUUCAACAGUCAACUACAACAUAUCCAAAAGACCGGUUACGUCUAUUCAUCUCCAUAUUGGAUGUAAAAACAUUUCAAAUCUACAUAUUUAUUUUUUUCGAUAAACACGACAAAACAAAAUCACCAAAGACACGCCUUUAUUUCUACUAUCCAGCGAUUGAGGGCCAGGGAGACGGAUGAAUGAUUCGGUCCAGCCAACUUAAACGCCAAUGAAGUUAUCGCCGCUCCCGGAAAAAAUGGUGUAUAUCAAGAUCGACAAAUGCCAGGAGCGAAGAAGGAAGAAAUUGUAGCGAGAGGCUAAAGUAAUAAACGUCAGUCAAUUUCUAUUUGCACGACGUAGCAGAUAUCAGUGAGCCAUUUAAAACACGUCCGGGGGGAUGUGUUCUGUUUAUACAGCACGACAACAUCUACAUACAUCAUCGAAAGAAGAGAAGAAAUAAAAAGAUGUAGUAAGUACACAUAGCUUCUGAUUUCUCAUCAGCCCUUUGACUUUUUCUUUUCUGUUACAUGUCGCGGUUUUCGAUAGCUCGUCUUUCAAUCGUACUAAAGAAAUAUUGACUAUAUGGGGGGUCUUUGGGUACGAUCCUCUCUCUUUAAAUCGGCAUCUUCUUACAAAUUCGUUUUCUUUCCUUCACAUCUUUCGUUUCGAAAUGUUAUCACGUCAAUCGUCGGGCUACCAGAUGAUAUUGAACCGAAAGAGCCCCAAAUCCCGGGGACCAAUCCACCGGUUAAUAACGAGGAGACUGUGCAGAAUUGAGAGCAAAAUGGGUACAGUAAUAACAGGAAUUUCGUAUGUGCAGUGGGUUACCACCUCUGUGUGUGUUUAUGUUUCUAUUUGGCUCUAUCGGAAAACAUGUCGAGACUAAAUUUAAAGCAAAAAGAAAACGGGGCCGAUCGAUCGUCUAGACAGCCGUAAGCCGGAGGCAAACGGAGUUGGGAAGAACGCCGGCGGAGUGAGGAGCGAAAUCACGUUCAUCCUAGAGCUAAUGCCAGUUAAUUCCCGCGCAAGUUGAAGUCGGUGUGAGAACCUUUCAUUAGGGAAAUAGUAUAAGGAAGGAGAAAGAAUAAGUAAGAGAGGAAAUCAUCCUAAAAUCUACAAUGUUUACAAGCAAACGAAUGGAAUCCCGUCUGACGGAAGUGCUGUUGCGAUGUCGUGAGGCCAGCGGGAUUAACGAAAGAGAACGUAAAAGAAAGUCAGAAAACAACAAUAUGAAAAGAAAAAAAAAAGAAAAUCAUCACGUCAUCACGAUGCCAACGGGCUAAGAGGGAGGGGGGCUUUUUCUUAACACUAAAGCAAUAUGCAAUUGGCGUAACUGCGGUUCGUCUCUUGGAAACCCAUCGUCACUCUGAUAAUUCAUUUCUUUUUUUAGAAUUUAAUCUAAAUCUAAAAUCGAGGACAACGGGUCAAGUCAAGCGCGACAUCUAGUUGCAUCGGCCACGAGCAAGCUUUUAAUAAGUAUUCCUGUUCAUUUUGAACAAUAAUCAAAAUUAUUAAGCCCCGAUUGAAAUAGCGUGAAUUGAUUUCGAUUGAAUGUCGUGUGUCAAGUUCGGUUUUAGAACAAUAGUUCCAAAUAUAAUUUUUUUUUUUUUCUUUUCCGAGAACCAAUUACAUGACAGUAACUAACGUAGAUUGUACGCAGCGACUGUCACGGCGACUUGCUCGUAAAGGGAUUUGAUGGUAGGAGGAGUCUAGCGCAAUUACCAUGUUUCCUGUCCUCUGUUUGUAUGUGGCACACAAUAGCUUUCAGGAAGGGGGGAGAGACGGGUGAGGUCUGUCAUCAUCAGCUAUUCCCUUAGAAAUUUUUUUUUUACCCUACAACCAACGAAGAGGGGGGGGCUCUUCGUCUCCGUGACAUGACGCAUUGGAGAGCAGCCCUGAGAGACGGACGCUGAAUCAGCAAAAGAGCUAUGGAGUGGAGGGAGAGAGUGGAGGGCACCGAAGCGAAAUCCAUCGUGCGUUGAUGUAUAGUGUCGCUCCACUUGGCGAUGUCAUAGAAACUGGUCACAACGUCAGUCAACUUUCACUCUCGACGACCAUUGCUCUUUCACACUCGUUGUUUUUCUUAGUCUAUGCGAUGGGGAAGCUCAUUACUUACUGCGAACCAUAUCUGCCAAAUUGUUUCCUUCGACUCCUGCCUCCUCAUUCUUUUUUUCCUAGUUUCUGUAAAGAACUUAAUGAAUUGAGUCAUCCACAGCGACGCGCGAUCACGCCUUAUUAUUUACUGCGGGUUGGUUUCUAGCCGAUUUGAUCCGGCUUCGAUUGUAAACCGUUAUGGAUUAUUCCUUCUGGCGGCGCAACUGAUGCGAUUCAAGAACACAACAUCCUCGCAACAACCAGAAACUUUUUCGUUCGUAUAAUAUUCUUUUAUAUCGGCACCGAGAAAGGCAAGGCGACGGUUGCAUACAGAAGAAGGAGUUGUACUCUCUUCAACGAUUUGGGAAAUUACCCGAGUUCUCUCUUUGAAGUGAGUAAAGAAAAGAGUUGCGCGGAUCAUUACAUUUCGCCAGACAGGCACUAGGGGAGAAAAGGAAAUGAAUAACGAAGCUUGUUGUUGGUCUAGAAAGAAAAAGAGGGAGAAAAAAAAAGAAAUACUGUAAUGUUCUGCCUGCUUUGUCCUGGGGAGAGAAAAGGAUUGAUGUGUUCUGCUGGCCAAUCCAAUUUCUGUGGUCACAACGACAUUUCUAGAAAAACAAGCGAAAAGAGCCGAAAAGAGAAAUGAUGACGAACUCCCUCAUUUAUGUGUGAUGUAGCGCUAAUGACAGGUUUUUGUGGCCAGCUGGAAAUUUAAUAAAUUGUUAUGCCUCUCUUUUUUCUUUUCCCUUUUGUAGUCAAUACGGUCAGACAAAGUUCCAUCCCAUCAUUUGCUUUUGUUUUGUUUUCUUCUUUUUUUUUUUUUUUCCCCCCUUAAUGCUGGCUUUGUACUCGAAACGACUGCCAGUUAUUAGAAGCCAAAACUGCCCCCCAUGUGUAUGUAAACGGAAGGGCGCAGUCGUCUCGUGAGCGUGAAAGCCCCGAGUUAUUCGAUGCACUUAAUGACCAGUCAUGUCGUAUAUUAUAUGCGUACAGAAAUGGACAGAGCAGCGACUUGGCCGAGAUAAAAUAUAUCUAGAAACGCCUCUGAGAACUAAAAAAGAAAUGUGAUUGAAGGUAACUCUCUUUUUUUAAGUUCGUCCGUUCGUGGAUGCAAAAUGGCAAUUACGUCAGAACUACAAGGCGGGAUUGUUUCUAUUUUUCCGCGGAGAAGAGUUAUCAUUUAUUUUACGGCACCCUUUUUUUUUUUUAUUCUCAGAAAAAAAAAGGAGUAAAUGUUAAAUAAAUUAAAUCGGGCGGGACUGGGGAGGGUUUCCUGUUUACAAUUAUCUCGCCACCCCUUUCUCCCUUUGCCGCCACCAAGAAUUAGAAAAAGAACUAAAAUUUUUUAAUUUUUCUCUGAUUGUUUUAAAAAAAUGAUCCAGGUAUCCAAGGCCCAAAGACGUGGGAAUCCGGCAUCUUUUUCUGGAUAGUGGCACGAGAUCGCUCAGUUCAAUACAGGCCGCCCGUCCGCUCGUACUCCCCCCUCACAGACGCCAUGGAGCGCAACUUCCCACUAAAGAAGCUCCUCGUAAAACACAAAAAUCAGGUAUUUAUCUCCUCAACUAAGGUCUGUUUUCUCUUAACGUUGGGAAACAAUUGCCGAUAUCCGAGAAAUGAAAAAGGUAAUCAUCGAAAACCGUCAAAAUCGAAUGGUUUCUCCGAACGCGCGCACAAAACGAUCACACACACACAAAUCGCCUUUUUUUUGUUGUAACGUCACACACACACACACACACAUAAAGAGAUACAUAAAAAGACGAGUUUAUGGAUUGGCUCUGCUUCGGCCAGAACGGACUGAUUACAGAGAAGAUAGGCUUAUCAUUAUCUUCCGGAUUCAAAAACAAAUUUGAUGGGAUAAAAAAUAAAAGAGGCUACCCCCAUUGCAAUAGCGAGAUGGCAUCCAUUAUAAUCCUCAAGACUGCUUUCCUUAAGCUUCUUCCUCCCUCUGUUUCGAGAGCCUCGACCUUAAUAGCCGCGUGCAUAUCCAGUGUAUACAGCUUCUAUCGGAGCCAAAAUGACGACAACCAACAAGGUUAAAGAGAAAGCGUUUAGAGCUUAAGUCGUAACAAGAGCCAUGAAGAGGAUCUAAGUCCCAAUUGUCCGCCGUAGUAUUUCAUAUUGGCCCACACACACGCACACCUUAUAGCUGCUGCCUCAUUAUGUUUCUGGCCUUUCUUUUUUUACGACCCAAGUGGCUAUGUUUUCUGUAUAUAACUUUUUGAAGCGAGAAACAUCCAAGAGCUUUUUAGCUGGGGCAUAGAGUCAAGAAACAGGGAUAGAAGGAUGGUACUGGGGUUUCCUCCCACUGAAAAACAUUGACGUGCACCGUUGCAUGCAGAGCGCACUCUUUUUUUCUUCCUUUUUUCUAACGGUCCUCUUUUUUUUUCUCUAGUGCUGCUCGUAAAUUGGAGCCAUCUGGGCUUACAUUUUUAUGUUCGACACUUUCCUUCCUGUGCCUGUUUCGCGUCCCCCCCGUACUUUUACUGCGUCUCCUCCGCCCCGUGAAAUCAAGCGACCCCCGCACGCACGGCCCCUCGCCACGUUGCAAAUAGGGAAAUCAUUUAGGGUAUAACAUAUUAAGCGAAAGGGGGAACUUCGAUUCACAUCAACUUGCGAUAGGAAACCAAAAGGAGUAUAAAGGUAGACUGAUUCCGGGGAUUUGCAAAAGCUCUAACGCCCCAUCCGCCCAUUCGGCACGUUUCUCCGACAUGCGAUUGGAAAAUGUCACCAUCGACUUCCCCGUCUAUUACGAUAUAUUUAGGUGAUCCAAAAGGCAAGCGUUUUCUUCCCAAUUUUUUCGUUGAAAAUCUACUACUAAAUUCCAUAUAGGAUGAUGUCUUCGUUUAAGACCCAAAAAAUAACGACGUCCCUUCUACCCCCCUCAGAGCUCCCAUUUUUUUUCAAUCUAAACUUGUUUUGGAUUUACUUAAUGGUAUUUCAAUAUGCCUAAAAAUGUAAAAAAAAUAAAUAAAUGAAAACCAACAGGCACAAUGUAUAUACAGACGUAAAUGUAAUCUAAAAGUAAACACAAAAAGUUUGAAUAAAUUUCCUCAACCAGU